CACAGACAUGGGCACGUGGGCAUUUCCUUUGGCCCCCGACCCACUCCACCCUCAGUACAGAGCGGCAAGCGCACAGGCACACGCAAACACAAACAAAGAAAAAAAGAGUCAUCUCCCUCUAACGUAGCGUGUGUGUAGAGGACACAAAAGACAGAGGAAAAAGACUCGACCCGACGACCUGAUACACCGUGAUUGAAUCAGGUGGCACACAUCUUACAUGGCCAGCCAUCGGUGCGUGGUGACGACAAAGGAAGAACCAGCUCGAUGACUUGGUGGACAGCUGUCUCCUCUACCCUGUUGUUGUUUUUUUUUUGUGUGUAUGUGCGUGUGUGGGUCUCUAGCUCACUUUUGUUCCUCCUUGUGCAGCGCUCGCUUGCCGCACUUCCUCUGUCGCUCACCCUCCAGGUUUUAUGGCCCUCCUUGUGCUUUAUCCGAGCGAGGCGAAAAGGCAGAACUUCCCUGACGCCCUUCUCAUCGUCUGACGUCUCCUCGUCGUCUCAAUAGUGAGUCUGGGACGCUCUCACUUGUGUAUCCAUUUGUUUUUUGGUUGCCACACAACUCCAGUGCCACAAAGAGCGAGCGCACGAAAAGCGAAAGGUACUGUGGCUCGCUCGACUUGUGCCCAAGUGCGCUUUCGUGAGCGCACGGAUGUGAACGUGUGACGAUUGAGUGCCGCCCCUUUUCUUCUCCUUGGCAGACACGCAGAUACACGCUAGCCUUCUAUCCACCUUUUUCUUUGGCAAGCGGGUCCGUGGAACGCUUUACUCGGCUGUUCUCGCUUGUGGAUUUCUCAUAUCGCUCUCCGUUUUCUUGCGAGGCUCUCGCUAAUAAAUUUUCUGCGUUCCCGGAGCUUCACUUCGGAGAGGGUCGCGGGCUCAUGCAGCGGACGCCGCUGGUGUCGUCGCAUGGUCGCAGCGCGUCUCCGAUCGUGCGGUUCAGCAGCCCACACGUGAAAAAUGUGGUGCGGCCCAAGGCAGUGCUGACGACGCUCACUCUGCUCGGGGUCAUCUACACCGCCAGCAUCAGCGGUGGCUACGGUCUUGAGGAAUCCGUCAGGGCUGGCGGCCCGCUGCUGUCCAUCCUCUUACUCUGCUUCAUCCCGUUCGUCUGGGGCAUUCCUGUGUCGCUGUGCGUGGCGGAGCUGUCCUGCGCUAUUCCGUCGAAUGCCGGACCGAUCAUGUGGGUCAACUGCGCCUUUCCGUCGUGGAUGACGCUCAUGACAGUGCUGUGGACAGCCUUUUUGAACUCCGUCGACAACAGCCUGUACCCCGCCGUCUUCGCCGACUACUGCGCUACGCUGUUUCAUCUCGGCUGGUUGGAAAGCGCGCUCGUGAAGGUCAUCUUCCUGUGUAUAUGCGCCGUCAUCAACGUCGUCGGCGUGGCGCUUGUCGGCGUCCUCAGCGUCGGCAUCAUGUUUAUCACCAUCCUGCCCUUCUUCGUAAUCUUCUUGCUGCAGUUGCCGCACGGCCUCAACUGGAAGCGCAUUACGUACAUUCCGGACAGCAUCGACUGGGCGGCGUUUCUCCCCGUCGUUGCGUGGAACUUCUCCGGCUUCGACUCGGCCGGUAACGUGAUUGAGGAGGUGCAGAACCCGAACCCGACCUUCAUCCGCGCGCUCAUCAUCAUGAUCGCCGUGGCGCUGGCCACGUACAUCCCGCCCAUUCUGGCUGGUGCCUCAGCCGAGAAGCUGAGCCACGUCAGCUUCGACCAGUGGGGCGAUGGCUUCUGGGUGAAGGUCGGCGAGGCGGUUGGCGGGACCCCGAUGGCAGCGACUAUCAUGGUCGGCGGCACCAUCUCAACUCUUGGGCUCAUGACCACCCUUCUGGCGACAACCUCGCGAUCGCUGGCGGGCAUGGGAACGUUGAACGCGUUUCCAUCGUUUUUUUCAAAGUGGUUGGAGAAGUACUCGGACACCUACAGGACCCCGGUAAACGCCAUCCUCGUCAACACCACUGUCACGUGCGCUCUGUCUCUCUGCCUGACCUUUCAAACGCUGGUGCAACUGGACCAGGUGCUCUACGCGUUGCGCCUCAUCGUCAUACUUUCCUCCUUCUUGAAACUGCGUCUCACACAGCCACUGCUAGAGCGUCCGUACCGGGCUCCUGGCGGCAAAGCUGCCGCCGUCGUCUUGGCUGGUGUCCCCAUCACCUUCAGCGCGUUUCUCAUCGCCAUGACCAUGACGGGCGGGCCAUUCGUCUUCUACAGCAGCGUCGUCCUCAUCGCUGGCACUGUUGUCGUCUCCUACAUCACCGUUCGCUUUUUCCGCUCCGACGGAUUUGAGGGGUCACUGGUCGAGGAGUACGAGGACGCGGACAUGUCCACAUACGGUACGAUUCUGGAAAUGGAGUCCUCCGAGUGGCGCCUACUUCACCAGAGGCACACGUUUAUCGACUGUCCGCCUCGCAUCAACGUUGCCCGCCUUCACGCUUGAAUCGUUCAUGCAUGUAUGCAAUAACACACCUGGAGGCGCUUAGGAGCACAAGAAGUGAGGAAGAGAAUGUACACGGACACGAGUUUAUCAGACCCUACAUCCCCUCGCACGGCCUUUGGGGCAUUGCGGACGGAUCGCGCGCUCACACAUCUUUGCUUUCGCGUUGUUUUCUUUCCCACAUCUCCGCGUGCUGAUGCGCAGUGCGCA
rnacentral:misc_RNA from 1 species